GACGAACGCUGGCGGCGUGCUUAACACAUGCAAGUCGAACGGUAAGGCCCUUCGGGGUACACGAGUGGCGAACGGGUGAGUAACACGUGGGUGAUCUGCCCUGCACUUCGGGAUAACCCGGGGAAACCCGGGCUAAUACCGAAUGAGGUGGCGACUCAUGAGAGUCGUCACGAAAGGAAGCUUCGGCCUCCGCGAAAGGAUGAGCCCGCGGCCCAUUAGCUUGUUGGUGGGGUAAUGGCCUACCAAGGCAACGAUGGGUAGCUGGUCUGAGAGGACGAUCAGCCACACUGGGACUGAGACACGGCCCAGACUCCUACGGGAGGCUGCAGUGGGGAAUCUUGCGCAAUGAGCGACAGCUUGACGCAGCAACGCCGCGUAAGGGAAGAAGGCUUUCGGGUCGUAAACCUCUUUCAGUUAGGACGAAGCUUUAUUGGUUAAUAACCAAUUGGAGUGACGGUACUUUCAGAAGAAGCCCCGGCUAACUACGUGCCAGCCGCCGCCGUAA
rnacentral:rRNA from 1 species